rnacentral:rRNA from 1 species
AACGAACGCUGGCGGCAGGCUUAACACAUGCAAGUCGAGCGCCCCGCAAGGGGAGCGGCAGACGGGUGAGUAACGCGUGGGAAUCUACCCAUCUCUACGGAAUAACGCAUGGAAACGUGUGCUAAUACCGUAUACGUCCUUCGGGAGAAAGAUUUAUCGGAGAUGGAUGAGCCCGCGUUGGAUUAGCUAGUUGGUGGGGUAAAGGCCUACCAAGGCGACGAUCCAUAGCUGGUCUGAGAGGAUGAUCAGCCACACUGGGACUGAGACACGGCCCAGACUCCUACGGGAGGCAGCAGUGGGGAAUAUUGGACAAUGGGCGCAGGCCUGCGCCGGCCAUGCCGCGUGAGUGAUGAAGGCCCUAGGGUUGUAAAGCUCUUUCACCGGUGAAGAUAAUGACGGUAACCGGAGAAGAAGCCCCGGCUAACUUCGUGCCAGCCGCCGCCGUAACAC